UUCAAGUAUUCCAGAUGGUAGA
rnacentral:siRNA from 1 species